rnacentral:tRNA from 2 species
GGGGAUGUAGCUCAGUGGAUAAGAGCACUUGCUGAGUAAGCAUGAAGACUUGAGUUCAAACCCACAGUCCCCU